rnacentral:misc_RNA from 1 species
GAUGAAGAACGCAGCGAAAUGCGAUAAGUAGUGUGAAUUGCAGAAUUCCGUGAAUCAUCGAAUCUUUGAACGCACAUUGCGCCUCCUGGUAGUCCGGGAGGCAUGCCUGUUCGAGCGUCACCAAAUCCAACUCAAGCGGUUUUGCGCUUGGUCGUGGCGGAAGAGUCGGUCUGGUUGCCGUCUCCCCUCCGAAAAUCAACGGCGGAAAGUCACUGGCAGUCAGCGUAGUAGUAUCGUUCGCCGAACAUCCAGUGGCAUUCCUGCCGACGUACCCCCACAAUUCUCGUGAUUGACCUCGGAUCAGGUAGGGAUACCCGCUGAACUUAAGCAUAUCAAUAGCGGAGGA